CACAAUAUGUAAUAUUAGUUUCGU
rnacentral:siRNA from 1 species